rnacentral:rRNA from 1 species
GACGAACGCUGGCGGCGUGCCUAAUACAUGCAAGUAGAACGCUGAAGAGAGGAGCUUGCUUUUCUUGGAUGAGUUGCGAACGGGUGAGUAACGCGUAGGUAACCUGCCUUGUAGCGGGGGAUAACUAUUGGAAACGAUAGCUAAUACCGCAUAACAAUGGAUGACCCAUGUCAUUUAUUUGAAAGGGGCAAAUGCUCCACUACAAGAUGGACCUGCGUUGUAUUAGCUAGUAGGUGAGGUAACGGCUCACCUAGGCGACGAUACAUAGCCGACCUGAGAGGGUGAUCGGCCACAUUGGGACUGAGACACGGCCCAGACUCCUACGGGAGGCAGCAGUAGGGAAUCUUCGGCAAUGGGGGCAACCCUGACCGAGCAACGCCGCGUGAGUGAAGAAGGUUUUCGGAUCGUAAAGCUCUGUUGUAAGUCAAGAACGAGUGUGAGAGUGGAAAGUUCACACUGUGACGGUAGCUUACCAGAAAGGGACGGCUAACUACGUGCCAGCAGCCGCGGUAAUACGUAGGUCCCGAGCGUUGUCCGGAUUUAUUGGGCGUAAAGCGAGCGCAGGCGGUUUGAUAAGUCUGAAGUUAAAGGCUGUGGCUCAACCAUAGUUCGCUUUGGAAACUGUCAAACUUGAGUGCAGAAGGGGAGAGUGGAAUUCCAUGUGUAGCGGUGAAAUGCGUAGAUAUAUGGAGGAACACCGGUGGCGAAAGCGGCUCUCUGGUCUGUAACUGACGCUGAGGCUCGAAAGCGUGGGGGAGCGAACAGG